rnacentral:rRNA from 1 species
UACGUAGGGCGCAAGCGUUGUCCGGAAUUAUUGGGCGUAAAGAGCUCGUAGGCGGCUUGUCACGUCGGGUGUGAAAGCCCGGGGCUUAACCCCGGGUCUGCAUUCGAUACGGGCUGGCUAGAGUGUGGUAGGGGAGAUCGGAAUUCCUGGUGUAGCGGUGAAAUGCGUAGAUAUCAUUUGGAACGCCAAUGGUGAAAACAGCUCGCUGGGGAUGUACUGACGCUGAGACACGAAAGCCAGGGGAGCAAACGGG